AUUCUGUCUUAGAAGCACAGGUAACGGUGGAAGAUCAUGGAAGUCUUCACAGAAGACAAGAUAUCAAAACAGAGCCUUGAAGGCUAAGUAGGUUUGUUUAUUUGCUUCUUUGUUUUUCCAGAUAGAAGGGGCCACAUAAGCAAAGAUGAAGAAACAUAAAAGAGCCUCAGUGUGGAUUUUUUGAAAGAAUGAGAAAGAGCACUUGAUGAAGAGUCUAGAAGUCUGUGUUUCAGUCCAAAACCUGCCAAUAAUGCUGGAAAACCUUAGAAGGUCAACAAACCCUCCUGAGGUUAAAAUUCUUCACCCCUCAAAAAGACAGGGACUUUCUGAGCCUCCUGCCCCAUAAGAUUGUCGUCAGUUUCAGACAAGAACCAAGUUGGUAAAUGCAGUUUAAAACCUACCAUGAGCCAGAGCAAAGGAAGGAAGUUUCCAAUUUUCUAUAGAUAUUUCACAUCAGACAUCAUGCAGUUUCAGUAUACUUAGUUUCCUUUGAUAUUAUCCAUAGCCUUGGCCCUCAAAUAUUUCACAUUCUUAGAUUAAUUUAAUAAUAGCCUGGUGUUGCUGCUUAUGUAUCCUACCAUAUCCACAGCCAACUAUGAAGACAAUAACUUUCUCACCUGAGAACUAAAGACUUACCUGGCUAUAGCUCCAUAUUAUAAUCUACUUAAAUUAUAAAUUAUAUGGUAUCAGACCAUCAUCUGAACCAUUUUAGAUCUAAGAGAUUUGCCAUGUCCUCAUAUACUGUCUAUUAUAAUCUGAUUCUUCUUUCAGUCCACAAAUAUUUAUUAAGCAAACACUCUGCAAAGUUCCAGCAACAGAGACACUUGGAAGUAGCUAGAAACUAGGAAAUUAAGAAAGAAUACACUUUAUACAAUGUGAAUUCUAGGAGGAUUUUGUGGGAAAAAAAAUUUUAAGGGAAGAUAUGUUUUCAGAGUUUUACACUUAAUUAUUAAAAAUUACAAUGAUUUUCAAAAUGUAUCUUUGACAGUGGAGAUUAUGUUUUGUCUGGUAAUCGAUCAGCUUUUUCUUUUAACCAACAGUUCAUCUAAAACAUUUUACCAAAUCCAAAGAUAAGAGAAUUUACAGUGAAGUUUGGAGGGUAGGGAACCCAAAAUCAACUGAUAGGAAACUAAAGUUUCCUUGGAUAGAGCCUGCAUGAAAUCUCUGCACUUAUGUAUAGACCUGCUCAGAGCAAUGUCUGUGGAAAUGACUUCAAAAGCUCCAAGUGCCAGAAAUAACAACUGCUCUGGAUCAAGUCCAGGAACAGAUAUUGGGACUAGAAAGAGGGAUUUUCCAAAAAUCUGAGUUUCAUUUUUAUCUAUAAUAUUGUUGAAAAAUGGAAAUGCUACUAUGUGAAACUCUGGCACUUUUUUGGCUAUAAAAAAGCCAUGUGUACAGUAUGAGCUAUCAUGCUUUAUCAAGUCUGAAGAACAGAGAAAGCCAUAGGGGAACCUUAUAAUGGUUAAUAACCUCCUAAUAAAGUACAUUUGUGCAUUGA
ensembl:lncRNA LINC02850 long intergenic non-protein coding RNA 2850